rnacentral:sRNA from 1 species
GAAGAUGUUUCUGGUGGGCCUGACAGGGGGCAUUGCCUCAGGCAAGAGCUCAGUGAUCCAGGUGUUCCAGCAGCUGGGUUGUGCGGUGAUUGACGUGGACGUGAUGGCCCGGCACGUCGUGCAGCCAGGAUACCCUGCCCACCGGCGCAUCGUAGAGGUCUUCGGCACUGAGGUCUUGCUGGAGAACGGCGACAUAAAUCGCAAGGUCCUGGGGGACCUGAUCUUUAACCAGCCUGACCGGCGGCAGCUGCUCAACGCCAUCACCCACCCUGAGAUCCGCAAGGAGAUGAUGAAGGAGACGUUCAAGUACUUCCUCCGGGAGCCCCGUACCAGCCCCAGAGGAAAGAAGCACGUUCCCUCAGCUCUUAAGGAGGCUGACAGUUUAAUGAGAAGAGACACAUGAGGCUUUCAGGCCAUGAGCCCAGGAAUUACUGGUGCAUCUGCAGGGCUUCGAGGCGGCAGUGGCUCUCCCCUUCUGAAAUUAAACAUCGGAUAAUGUCACCGGC